GACGAACGCUGGCGGCGUGCCUAAUACAUGCAAGUCGAACGGAGCGGAGGACGGGUGAGGAAUGCCUAGGAAUCUGCCUGGUAGUGGGGGAUAACGUCCGGGAACGGGCGCUAAUACCGCAUAAUAUCAGAUGAGCCUAGGUCGGAUUAGCUAGUUGGUGGGGUAAAGGCCUACCAAGGCGACGAUCCGUAACUGGUCUGAGAGGAUGAUCAGUCACACUGGAACUGAGACACGGUCCAGACUCCUACGGGAGGCAGCAGUGGGGAAUAUUUCACAAUGGGCGAAAGCCUGAUCCAGCCAUGCCGCGUGUGUGAAGAAGGUCUUCGGAUUGUAAAGCACUUUAAGUUGGGAGGCGUUACCAACAGAAUAAGCACCGGCUAACUUCGUGCCAGCAGCCGCGGUAAUAC
rnacentral:rRNA from 1 species